UAGAUUGUUUCUCCUCUAUCUCUCUCUCUCUCUCUCACAUUACAAUUUACAUGGAUGUCCAUAGAAGCACCCGUGACUUCUUCACUCUGUCUAGACUGUCUUUGAUUCUCCAAUUCAGCAUAACUUUCCACCUAAAACAAAAGCCAUUCUCUAUAUAUAUAAACCAAACCAAGCACAAGCACAAGCACAAGCACAAGCCUUUCUCUAUUUAUAAAAGCACUUGGAAUUCCAAACUAAUUUAACAUACUCUCUAUUACUCUUUAUACUCAUAUUCUCUCCUUCUCAUAUCAGUCCCAAUUCUUUUUUCUGUUUUAAAAUUAAAUGCCAACAUUCCAACACAUUUUCUAUGUUAUUAUUGUUCUUCUUCUCUUCAAUUCAACCCAAACACAAUGCCACAGCAAGGGACUUCGACCUGGGAAUUCAGCUGGGAAAGUACAUUUGACCAAGAACAUGACACAAGCCCAAUUCUCAGAACAGCAAUUCAUGAAAUGGGUGAGGUUUGUUGGAAGGCUGAAGCACUCUGUGUUCAAGACAGCCAAAAAUAAGCUCUUCCCUUCUUACACUCUGCAUGUGGCUAAGAACCGUGCUGCUGGAGACUUCACAACCAUUCAGGACGCCAUUGACUCUCUCCCAUUCAUCAAUCUCUUGAGAGUGGUCAUCAAGGUCCAUGCAGGGGUCUACACGGAGAAGGUUAAUAUACCUCCAUUGAAAUCAUAUAUAACCAUAGAAGGAGCAGGGGCAGACAAAACAAUUGUCCAAUGGGGAGACACUGCUCAAACACCAUCUGGUCCAAAGAAACAACCUAUGGGGACUUACAAUUCUGCAACUUUUGCUGUGAAUUCCCCUUAUUUCAUUGCCAGGAACAUCACAUUCAAGAACACUACACCAGUCCCAGCACCAGGAGCAAUUGGUAAGCAGGCAGUGGCAUUUAGAAUAUCAGCAGAUACAGCAGCCUUCUUGGGGUGCAAAUUCUUGGGGGCACAAGAUACACUCUAUGAUCAUUUGGGAAGGCAUUAUUACAAGGAUUGCUACAUUGAAGGUUCAGUGGACUUCAUCUUUGGAAAUGGACUCUCCCUAUUUGAGGGAUGUCACGUGCACGCAAUAGCACAGAACAUAGGAGCUCUCACAGCACAAGGCAGGAGCAGCCUGUUGGAGGAAACGGGCUUCUCAUUUGUAAACUGUAAGGUCACGGGCUCAGGAGCACUCUAUCUUGGUAGGGCAUGGGGUCCUUUCUCCAGGGUGGUCUUCGCAUACACAUAUAUGGACAACAUUAUCAUGCCUAAAGGCUGGUAUAACUGGGGUGACCCUAACCGUGAAAUGACUGUGUUUUAUGGGCAAUACAAGUGCACUGGACCAGGAGCUCGCUUUGCAGGGAGGGUUUCAUGGUCUAGAGAGCUCACUGAUGAGGAAGCCAAGCCUUUUAUUUCCCUUACCUUCAUAGAUGGCUCUGAGUGGAUCAAAUUGUAAUGAUUGAUCAACUAAAACACCAAAACUAUUUUUUUCAAAUAAAAAGAUUAAAAGAAGUCCUUGUUUAAUCUGUGAUCUCUGAGGCUCUGCCAGAGCUAGACCCUAAGAGAACCAAUCUUGAAAGCUCCCUUUCAUGAAAAAUCUAGCAAAAGGACAUUGCUCCCAGUAAAGCUUUGUUUUUUUUGCAAAGCCUGCCUCUGCAUCAGGAAAGCUUGAAAAGAAUGCGGCCUCAGCCUUCCUAUACCCUUUCUGACAGGUCGAAAGCUAAUCAUCAUUGGCUUAUAUCCCCUUGGAAACUGGAACAAAAAAUUUACUUUCAAGAGUAAUUGAUAACCAUGAUUGAAUUGAAACUAUUAAUUGUUCCCCUAUUUUUUCAGAAAAGUUUUAGUUGGUCAAGGAAAGGAACUAGAAAUUAUGGGA